rnacentral:ncRNA from 1 species
AGAGAUAGAGGUCGCGUGAAUCAUCAGUAGACGGUCGGAUGCAGCAGAGGCACUGGAAGACAGCCGAAAGGGGUAAGCGCCGAAAGGCCGGAUAUUCUGCAAGUCCGGAUCUUGGGCAUGUGGUCAAUAACCAUAUGACUGUCAUCUGGAACAGAUGGAGCGCUAUCCG